AUGACUGACCAUCGAUGUUUCGAGGCGUUGGACGGGACUUUAAGGGAUGUUCUUUCAGCUGAAAACGAGCAAAAUGGCCUGUUACCGUUUGGUGGGAAGAUAGUUCUGCUUGGUGGCGAUUUUAGGCAAAUAUUGCCGGUAGUUGAAGGUGGCACAAAAGAAGAUAUUAUUGAUGCAUCAUUGAUUAGUUCGCCACUGUGGCAGCAUAUUAAGGUUCGCAAGUUGCAUACUAAUAUGCGUUUGUCAAAUCCUGAUUUAUGCCGGGAAGCACGUGCAGAAUUAGCAGAUUUUUCGAAUUGGGUUCAGAGUAUUGGAAAUGGUUCUAUACCUAUGUAUUGCAAGAACGACGAAUCUUCUCCGUCCUGGAUUUCUAUUCCUGAAGAUUUAGUGUUGUCCCCUACGGUGGAUCAUAUGCAUGCAACUGUUGACAAUGUGUAUGAUAUGUUUGAUUUGAAUUACAAUGAUGCUUCUUAUUUGUCCCGCCGUGCUAUUGUAUGUCCUACCAAUUCUGUCGUGGAUGAACUAAAUGAUGUCGUCUUCGACCGUGUCCCUGGAUAUCCUACAGAGUAUCUUAGCUGUGAUUCAAUAUCCAAAUCCACGGACUCCAUCGGUGAAGCGGAGCUAUUUUAUCCUCCCGAGUUAUUAAAUUCCAUAGUAAUCAAUAACUUUCCCCGUCAUAAAAUUGGGCUUAAACUUGGUGUUCCUGUCAUGCUGCUCAGAAAUAUUAAUCAAUUGUUGGGCUUAUGCAAUGGUACUCGCUUAAUUCUCACUCGGCUAGGUGAGAGGGUGCUAGAAGGAGAAAUUAUCACUGGUUCUAACAAGGGUCGACGUGUGUGUAUUCCACGGAUUGUUCUCAAUUCUGCAGGUUGUAAAUGGCCUUUUACACUGCGGAGGUGCCAAUUUCCAGUCCGCUUAUGCUAUGCAAUGACGAUCAACAAAAGUCAAGGCCAAACUUUGUCAAAAGUUUGUGUAUACCUUCGCGAGCCUGUGUUUUCACACGGUCAGCUUUAUGUCGCUGUAUCACGUGUUACUUCUCGGAGCGGUCUCAAAUUUUUGAUUGAGGACGACCAUGGUUGCUCUACUUCUGAGACAAGAAAUGUAGUUUACAGGGAAGUCAUCGACCAUUUGUAA
rnacentral:rRNA from 1 species